CGCGGAGCGGUUCGACGGCGGCACGGGCCGGAUGUGCUUCGGCGCGGGCGCCGGGCUCGAUCCGGAGUCGGCGCUCGACUCGGCGCUGUGCGA
rnacentral:tRNA from 1 species